AUUGAACGCUGGCGGCAGGCCUAACACAUGCAAGUCGAGCGGAUGAUGGGAGCUUGCUCCUGGAUUCAGCGGCGGACGGGUGAGUAAUGCCUAGGAAUCUGCCUGGUAGUGGGGGACAACGUUUCGAAAGGAACGCUAAUACCGCAUACGUCCUACGGGAGAAAGCAGGGGACCUUCGGGCCUUGCGCUAUCAGAUGAGCCUAGGUCGGAUUAGCUUGUUGGUGAGGUAAUGGCUCACCAAGGCGACGAUCCGUAACUGGUCUGAGAGGAUGAUCAGUCACACUGGAACUGAGACACGGUCCAGACUCCUACGGGAGGCAGCAGUGGGGAAUAUUGGACAAUGGGCGAAAGCCUGAUCCAGCCAUGCCGCGUGUGUGAAGAAGGUCUUCGGAUUGUAAAGCACUUUAAGUUGGGAGGAAGGGUUGUAGAUUAAUACUCUGCAAUUUUGACGUUACCGACAGAAUAGGCACCGGCUAACUCUGUGCCAGCAGCCGCGGUAACAC
rnacentral:rRNA from 1 species